AAAGUGCAACAGAAAGCAGACCGCCGGCUUUCGGGUCGUUAAGGGUGAAACGGUGGUGUAAGAGACCACCAGCGCCCCAGGUGACUGGGGUGGCUCGGUAAACCCCACUCGGAGCAAGACCAAGAAGGCCGGCCCACGGGUCGGCCGCGGACGCCGCUUGAGCGCUGCUCGCGCGAGGCGCCCGGGUAGGUUGCACGAGCCCACCGGCAACGGUGGGCCUCAGAUAGAUGAUCAUCCGUCGACAGAAUCCGGCUUACCGGCCGUCUCGUCCG
rnacentral:RNase_P_RNA from 1 species